GCCCGGGUGGCGGAAUUGGCAGACGCGCAGGUUUUAGGAACCUGUAUCGAAAGAUGUGGAGGUUCAAGUCCUCUCUCGGGCACAA
rnacentral:tRNA from 1 species